AGUGAACGCUGGCGGUAGGCCUAACACAUGCAAGUCGAACGGCAGCACAGUAAGAGCUUGCCCUUACGGGUGGCGAGUGGCGGACGGGUGAGGAAUACAUCGGAAUCUACUUUUUCGUGGGGGAUAACGUAGGGAAACUUACGCUAAUACCGCAUACGACCUACGGGUGAAAGCAGGGGACCUUCGGACCUUGCGCGAUUGAAUGAGCCGAUGUCGGAUUAGCUAGUUGGCGGGGUACAGGCCCACCAAGGCGACGAUCCGUAGCUGGUCUGUGAGGAUGAUAAGCCACACGGGAACUGAGACACGGACCAGACUCCUACGGGAGGCAGCAGUGGGGAAUAGUGGACAAUGGGCGCAAGCCUGGUCCAGCCAUACCGCGUGGGUGAAGAAGGCCUUCGGGUUGUAAAGCCCUUUUGUUGGGAAAGAAAAGCAGCAGGUUAAUACCCCGCUGUUCUGACGGUACCCAAAGAAUAAGCACCGGCUAACUUCGUG
rnacentral:rRNA from 1 species